rnacentral:rRNA from 1 species
CAGCCGCCGCGGGAACACCGAGGGUGCAAGCGUUAAUCGGAAUUACUGGGCGUAAAGCGCGCGUAGGUGGUUUGUUAAGUUGGAUGUGAAAUCCCCGGGCUCAACCUGGGAACUGCAUCCAAAACUGGCAAGCUAGAGUAUGGUAGAGGGUGGUGGAAUUUCCUGUGUAGCGGUGAAAUGCGUAGAUAUAGGAAGGAACACCAGUGGCGAAGGCGACCACCUGGACUGAUACUGACACUGAGGUGCGAAAGCGUGGGGAGCAAACAGGAUUAGAUACCCCUGUAGUCCCUGUCUCUUAUAC